rnacentral:rRNA from 1 species
GGGAGAAGUUAGUGGCAGACGGGUGAGUAAUGCAUAGGAAUCUGCCUAGUAGUAUGGGAUAGCCACUAGAAAUGGUGGGUAAUACUGUAUAAUCCCUGCGGGGGAAAGAUUUAUCGCUACUGGAUGAGCCUAUGUUAGAUUAGCUAGUUGGUGGGGUAAUGGCCUACCAAGGCUGUGAUCUAUAGCUGGUCUGAGAGGAUGAUCAGCCACACUGGAACUGAGACACGGUCCAGACUCCUACGGGAGGCAGCAGUGGGGAAUAUUGGACAAUGGGCGCAAGCCUGAUCCAGCUAUGCCGCGUGAGUGAGGAAGGCCUUAGGGUUGUAAAACUCUUUCAGCAGGGAAGAUAAUGACGGUACCUGCAGAAGAAGUCCCGGCAAACUCCGUGCCAGCAGCCGCGGUAAUACGGAGGGGGCAAGCGUUGUUCGGAAUUAUUGGGCGUAAAGGGCAUGUAGGCGGUUUGGUAAGUUAAAGGUGAAA